rnacentral:rRNA from 1 species
GUAGUCAUAUGCUUGUCUCAAAGAUUAAGCCAUGCAUGUCUAAGUAUAAGCAACUAUACGGUGAAACUGCGAAUGGCUCAUUAAAUCAGUUAUCGUUUAUUUGAUAGUACCUUACUACAUGGAUAACCGUGGUAAUUCUAGAGCUAAUACAUGCUAAAAACCUCGACCUCGGAAGGGGUGUAUUUAUUAGAUAAAAAACCAAUGCCCUUCGGGGCUCCUUGGUGAAUCAUAAUAACUUAACGAAUCGCAUGGCCUUGCGCCGGCGAUGGUUCAUUCAAAUUUCUGCCCUAUCAACUUUCGAUGGUAGGAUAGUGGCCUACCAUGGUAUCAACGGGUAACGGGGAAUUAGGGUUCGACUCCGGAGAGGGGGCCUGAGAAACGGCUACCACAUCCAAGGAAGGCAGCAGGCGCGCAAAUUACCCAAUCCCGACACGGGGAGGUAGUGACAAUAAAUACUGAUACAGGGCUCUUUUGGGUCUUGUAAUUGGAAUGAGUACAAUUUAAAUCCCUUAACGAGGAACAAUUGGGGGGCAAGUCUGGUGCCAGCAGCCGCGGUAAUUCCAGCUCCAAUAGCGUAUAUUAAAGUUGUUGCAGUUAAAAAGCUCGUAGUUGAACCUUGGGCCUGGCUGGCCGGUCCGCCUCACCGCGUGUACUGGUCCGGCCGGGCCUUUCCUUCUGGGGAACCUCAUGCCCUUCACUGGGCGUGUUGGGGAACCAGGACUUUUACUUUGAAAAAAUUAGAGUGUUCAAAGCAGGCCUUUGCUCGAAUACAUUAGCAUGGAAUAAUAGAAUAGGACGUGUGGUUCUAUUUUGUUGGUUUCUAGGACCGCCGUAAUGAUAAUAGGGA